rnacentral:lncRNA from 1 species
GCAGUAGCAAAGCUGUCCGUUUUGGUUUCUCACCGUGGAAGCUUUGUUCUUUUGGUCUUUUGUAAUAGGUCUUGCUGUUGCUCAGUGUUUGGGUCUACAUUACUUUUGGAGCUGUGGCACUCCGCGUGAAGGCUUGCAGCUUCACCCUUGAAGCCAGUGAGACCAUGAACCCACCAGGAGGAGUGAAGGCUGUCUUGUCUUAAGUAGUCCUACCGGCUGUAACGGUUGUUGUGAAAGUCUGUAUCCUCACUCGUGAGCCAGCAAGACCAUGAAUCAACUAGGAGGAAGAAACUCCGAACAUAUGCGAACAUCAGGAGGAACAAACUCUGGAUACGCUGCUUUUAAAAGUUGUAAUGCUCACUGAGCAGGUUUGCGGCUUCAUUCUUGAAGUCAGUGAGACCAAGAACCCACCAAUUCUGGACACAAAAUCUGUUUGCCUGUUUAGAGGCAUACUACGGGGUUACAUUAGAAGCCCACCGAGAUAAUCCAAUACAAUCUUCUGAUCUCAAAAUCCUUCACUUAAUGACAUCUUUGGCAACUUGAAAUAAUAAUCACAGGUGUCUGACUUUUAAGGUGAGAGAACUAAGUUGUGUGACUCCAAAAGAGCAGAAACCAGGAACUGGAGAAUGGAGGACCAAAGAUCAGAGAACAAACGGUAAAGAAGGAUGUGUUUGCUCCCACUUCCACCAUGAUUGUAAGUUUCCUGAGGCCUCCCAAGCCAUGAUGAACUGUUGUAAAUCUCUCACUCCAGCAUGGCCCACCGUAUACCUGGAGGAAAGGAAUGUCCCUAUCUGAAGACACAGAGACACCAAGAAGAAUCCGAACAGGACUUGCUAAGUUCCCUCCUGUUUAUAACCAUUAGCUAAUACCCUUUUACCCAAUCAUACUUCUGCAUGACUGUUCAUGAACAUACACAGUUUUCCCUGUUUCUUUGGAUCUUAAUUUCUGAAGGUUCCCGGGUCACAUAAAGCUUGUUUUGUUCUCUUUUGUUUGAGACAAGGUCUCACUCUGUCAGCCAGGCUGGAGUGCAGUGGUAUGAGCAUGGUUCGCUGCAGCUUUGACCUCCUCCCACUGGGGAUCUUCCCAAGCAAUCCUCCCACCUUAGCCUCCCAAGUAGCUGGAGCUACGGGUGCAUGCCACCACACCAAGCUCAUUUUUAAACUUUUUGUAGAGAUGGGGGUCUCGCUAUGUUGCUCAGGCUAGUCUUGAACUCCUGGGCUCAGGCAAUCAUCCUACCUCAGCCUCUAAAAGUGCUGGGAUUACAGGUGUGAGCCACUGCGCCCAGCCCCU